rnacentral:rRNA from 1 species
UACGUAGGGGGCCAGCGUUAUCUGGAGUUACUGGGCGUAAAGCGCACGCAGGCGGUCCGUUGCAUCGGGGGUGACAGUGCUCGGCUUAACUGAGCAAGCGCUCUUGAAACGGGCGGACUUGGGGGCCAGAGAGGGAGUCGGAACUCCGGGUGGAGCGGUGAAAUGCGUAGAGAUUCGGAAGAACACCGAAGGCGAAGGCAGACUCCUGGCUGGUUCCUGACGCUCAGGUGCGAAAGCGAGGGGAG